rnacentral:rRNA from 1 species
AACGAACGCUGGCGGCGCGCCUAAUACAUGCAAGUCGAGCGAGAAGACGUAGCAAUACGUUUGUAAAGCGGCGAACGGGUGAGGAAUACAUGGGUAACCUACCCUCGAGUGGGGAAUAACUAGCCGAAAGGUUAGCUAAUACCGCGUACGCUCCUUGGACUUCGGUUCAGGGAGGAAAGCGAUACCGUGGGUAUCGCGCUCUUGGAUGGGCUCAUGUCCUAUCAGCUUGUUGGUGAGGAACGGCUCACCAAGGCUUCGACGGGUAGCUGGUCUGAGAGGACGAUCAGCCACACUGGCACUGCGACACGGGCCAGACUCCUACGGGAGGCAGCAAGUAAGGAAUAUUGCGCAAGUGGGACGAAAGCCUGACGCAGCGACGCCGCGGUGGGGGAUGAAGGUC